UUCUUGCUACAUCCUCGCGACUAAUGACAAUACUGAAUAUUUUUACUUAACUGAAUAUUUUUACUUAUUUUGUGAAUAUCAGUAUUCUCAUUAGCCGCGCGAACCGGUUGUAGCUAAAGAAGCUCAC
rnacentral:misc_RNA from 1 species